UUAGGAGGCGCUGUUGGGUAUUAAUAUUUCAUGUCUGGUGUUGCAGCAGAUGGGCAAUUUCAGUGAAGUUCGAAAAUUUCUGACUUCUGCAACGGCCAAAUGCCGAGAUAGCUUGCAAUGAGUCAACACAGCCAAGUUGAAGUCGCGAUUUUCGUCCUCAGCAUUGCAUUUUGGAGGGUAUUGGAACUACACGCAUUCUCUACUGAUGCUUCAAGUCAAUGCAUAGUGGGAAGCAUACAGUUUCACGUGAAAUUCAAAACAAUAGAAAUCAGUACUCAUUAUCUGGAUAAGGCGAGCAACAUAAGCGAAUGUACGAGUAAGGUCUGUCAUUACGGGCGCGGUGAUUAUGCGUACCUGUUGGAUAGAGGAUGUUUUGCGGUUACCUGUGAAA